UGGAGAAGAGAUUUGCAAAUGACAUACCUGAUAAAGCAUGAGUUUUCCUAAGAGCAUGUUGACAAUGUGACCGUGGGCCUCUCCCUGAGACUUGAUGUCCCCAUCUGAAAAAGAAGGCUCCAGACAAGGGCUAAGUCAAGGAAGAUAGAAGGACUUCUCAAGGUCAUUCACGUAUUCCUUUACCAUUCAACAAUUGUUCAUUGAGCACCUGUGAUGUGCAAGGCAGAGAGCUGCAGGCUCUGCU